GGGCACGGGGCGGCACUGCCUCACCCCAUACCCGGGGCACUGCUGCACCCCUGGGGGGUGACACAGCCCCCGGGCCACACCUUGCCACGCCGGCCCCCUGCACCAGCACGGCACCAGCCUGACAAUAAAGCACGUAACGGACGGAGCUGGCGUGGGGACCCUGCCUCUGCAUGGGGGGCUCGGUGGGGACAGGCGUGGGGCUGCCCUGAUUGCGGGGUGGGGUAAUGGCAGUGGGGUCGGGGCAGCUCGGGGAGGAGGCGCCGCGCACUACAACUCCCAGCAGGCUUUGCGCGCGGCUGCCGUGCCCCGCCCGGCUUCUCCGCCCGCGGGCAUCAUGGGAAAUGUGGUCCGGGCAGAGGGCAGCUGAGGCGCCAUCUUGUGCGAGGCUGGGGAGGGCGCGGGUGUGAAGCCUGCGGGCUGUAGGAACUGGGGGCUGGGCUCCUACACUGGGGGGCCCCGCACGUAGGGAGCUGCCUGGAGACCCCACAGCGGGACGGGAUGGCUGAAGGGUGCGGGGCUGGUCCCGGGUCUGAUGGUGGCUGGCUGCAGCGCUCCACUGGCACGUAGCCGACACGCUUCGGUGGCGUGCCAACGGCCCGCCAGGAGGCUAAUAAAUAAAGUAACCGAUAGCCUAAAUAAUUAACAAACUCACUCUUUUAUUAAUUUGUGCUUACACGAUCCUGCACGCUAUUAAACAGCAAAGCUACUAACAAUCAACUCAAUCCCACAGGACUGACCCCCCCACGCCUCUGGGAGGCAGACGCGAUGCGGGCUCCCGUGGGCCAUGCAAGUGGCCCCAUCCAAAUGCUUCGGGCACUGCCUCUACCCCAGUCACCUCGGCUCAACGGGGGAUGAGUGGUGUGUUCACCUCAUAAGGGACAGCUCUGCCUGCGCCCCUUCUCCUCCUGAGCUGUCCCUCUCCCCCCACUGUCCCUCUUCUCACCUGCAAGCCCCCCGCCAGCACCCCUCUACCUCCCCAGUUCCCCCUUCAGCCCUCUCAUCCUUGCCACCGGGCGCCUCGCAUCGCCGCUGCCGUCAUCCCCACGCAGGGCAGGGGAGGCUGGCCAGCAACGCUCUGUGCCCGCACAGCCCCUCGGCUCGCUUCCCCCAGCACACGCCACGCUGCAGCCACUCAUCCACACCGGCCUUUCGUUACUCCGUGGCUCAGAGCCCGUACUCAUGCCAGAGGCUGGGGGGAUAGAAGGAGGUCA
rnacentral:lncRNA from 1 species